CCUACGGGAGGCAGCAGUGAGGAAUAUUGGACAAUGGGCGCAAGCCUGAUCCAGCCAUGCCGCGUGCAGGAAGACGGUCCUAUGGAUUGUAAACUGCUUUUAUACAGGAAGAAACACCUCUACGUGUAGAGACUUGACGGUACUGUAUGAAUAAGCAUCGGCUAACUCCGUGCCAGCAGCCGCGGUAAUACGGAGGAUGCAAGCGUUAUCCGGAAUCAUUGGGUUUAAAGGGUCCGUAGGCGGUUUAAUAAGUCAGUGGUGAAAGCCCAUCGCUCAACGAUGGAACGGCCAUUGAUACUGUUAAACUUGAAUUAUUAGGAAGUAACUAGAAUAUGUAGUGUAGCGGUGAAAUGCUUAGAGAUUACAUGGAAUACCAAUUGCGAAGGCAGGUUACUACUAAUAUAUUGACGCUGAUGGACGAAAGCGUGGGGAGCGAACAGGAUUAGAUACCCUGGUAGUCCACGCCGUAAACGAUGGAUACUAGCUGUUCGGAGCAAUCUGAGUGGCUAAGCGAAAAGUGAUAAGUAUCCCACCUGGGGAGUACGUUCGCAAGAAGAGAAGUACGAAGAAGUAGAGAGAGAGAGNGCGAGACGACGACGAGGGAGGAG
rnacentral:rRNA from 1 species